rnacentral:rRNA from 1 species
UACGUAGGUGGCGAGCGUUGUCCGGAAUUAUUGGGCGUAAAGAGCUCGUAGGCGGUCUGUCGCGUCUGCUGUGAAAACUCAGGGCUUAACCCUGAGCUUGCAGUGGGUACGGGCAGACUAGAGUGCGGUAGGGGAGACUGGAAUUCCUGGUGUAGCGGUGAAAUGCGCAGAUAUCAGGAGGAACACCGGUGGCGAAGGCGGGUCUCUGGACAGUUCCUGACGCUGAGGCACGAAGGCCAGGGGAGCAAACGGG